UGCCAGCAGCCGCGGUAAUACGGGGGAUGCAAGUGUUAUCCGGAAUCACUGGGCGUAAAGGGUUCGUAGGUGGACCUAUAAGUCAGGUAUGAAAGACCGGAGCUCAACUCCGCGUUUGUGCUUGAAACUGUAGGCCUAGAAUCAGGGAGAGGUAAGCGGAAUUCUUAGUGUAGGGGUGCAAUCCGUAGAUACUAAGAAGAACACCAAAAGCGAAGGCAGCUUACUGGAACUGUAUUGACACCGAGGAACGAAAGCGUGGGGAGCGAAGAGGAUUAGAUA
rnacentral:rRNA from 1 species